rnacentral:rRNA from 1 species
UCCAUUUACAGAGGAUAGCCUUUAGAAUGAAGAUUAAUACUCCAUAGUAUUAUUGAUUGGCAUCAAUUAAUAAUUAAAGUUCGGUGGUAAAAGAUGAGUAUGCGUUCUAUUAGCUAGAUGGUGUGGUAACGGCACACCAUGGCUNCGAUAGAUAGGGGCCCUGAGAGGGGGNUCCCCNACACUGGUACUGAGACACGGACCAGACUCCUACGGGAGGCAGCAGUGAGGAAUAUUGGACAAUGGAGGCAACUCUGAUCCAGCCAUGCCGCGUGCAGGAAGACUGCCUAUGGGUUGUAAACUGCUUUUAUACAGGAAGAAACCGCUCUACGUGUAGAGCUCUGACGGUACUGUAAGAAUAA